rnacentral:rRNA from 1 species
UACGUAGGUGGCAAGCGUUGUCCGGAUUUAUUGGGUUUAAAGGGUGCGUAGGCGGUCUUUUAAGUCAGUGCUGAAAUACUCCAGCUUAACUGGAGGGUGGCAUUGAUACUGGAAGACUUGAGUGCAGUCGAAGUAGGCGGAAUUGACGGUGUAGCGGUGAAAUGCUUAGAUAUCGUCAAGAACACCGAUAGUGAAGACAGCUUACUAGGCUGCAACUGACGCUGAGGCACGAAAGUGUGGGGAUCAAACAGG